AGAGCGCGCAGAGCAAGGCCGCCGCCAGCUCUCCCAGGAACCGUCGCGAGGCGUCCCCUCGGCGGCCGCCUCAGUUUCCCUGGCCGUAAAACGCGGGCGAUGGCGCUCGAUGCCCCGGGAGACGCCGGGGUCCGCGGGCCCUUCCGGCACCGGGUCCUCCUUCAGGUUCGGGCACCCGGCUGCCUCCACGCGGGGCGAGCGCGGCGAUGGGAUCGGUCCGUGCUGCGCUCAGCCCCGCUUUCGCUAUCCCUCUGCUCCAGGGGCAGCAAAAUCAGCAGAUGAGCCCCCAGCGCGCCUGCGGCCCACACACUGCGGCCGUAACAGUUAAACAGACGGGGAACAUUCAUGUGCGUAGAGCUCUUCACGGGGCGAUACAGAAAUGUGUCGUUCUAAAGCGUUAACGACCUGCAAUUUGCAUAUCCUCCAACACAUGGAUUUUACUGAUUCAAUUAUGGAUGUGUGCAAAGAAUCUGCUGCUCGCUAUAUGGGAACACUUUCAGUUUCCCAAGUUAAAACAUGAAAUUGCACAUCAUCAUUUGGAUCCCCAAAGAGGAAAAGAAAAAUUCACAACCUGCCAGUGAAAUACUCAGGCCACUUGGAUGAAGACCGAGGUCCUCCAUAGAAUCCAGGUGUUAUUUACUAACUAAUCAGAAAUUAAUAUCAAAAUAGGACUUAAAAAUAACAAGGCUGUGUUAUUACAGCAGUCUUUCCAGUUGUGUACGCUUUACUAAUCUAAAUUGGGUAACAGAACUGGAGAAAAGGAAGACUACACAGACUUAUCAUAAGCUGUUAGUGAACGUGAUAGAAAUGCGUAAUUUGUUAAAGCGAAUUACAGCUCUGAUUUGUCAAAUGAGGAGGUGAAUUAUCCUAGGAUUUGCUAUGCUGUUGUGGCGUUAGAAGAUUGGAUCUUUAGCAGCAAAGGUAACCUCAACAAUAUUUUCUGCUUAAGAAAGUGCCUUGGUUAAGGUAGACCGUGAUAUCGUCUUUGACUAAGCUCUCUGGGCUAUUGAUUCUGUCAUAUUCCAAAGGCAGUAUUGGUUUGAAGCCGAAUCUCACGGUCAAUGUCAACAUGCAAUCCACAAAGACCCUGGCGCCCUUCCACGGUAUGCACUAACCAAAACUUUCUCACUGUGAAAUCCUUUUUUUAAAAACAAGAAAACAAAAAACAAAAACCAAAAAACCUUACUGUGAAUCCUUUCCCAAGGAAUGGUCCCACCUUCACCUCGGAAAGAGGCGUGGCUUGCUCUGUAAGCAGGUCCACCCUGAGGAGACCGCUGGUGCAAGAGCCCUGCUUGCAGAACACACAGGGGGUUUUCCCACAUUCUUACUGGAGUCAGAUUCGGCAAAGCAUUUCAAGCAACUGCUGGACACUUCAAAUACCACUCCCUGUUAACAACGCCCUGAGUAUCUCACUGUCUCCAGGAUCUGGUUUAAAGGGAAACACAGAAAUGGCCAACAGCUCCCUCCCCAGGCAGGACUGCGAUUUCACAGACAACCUAUAGGCAUCCCCAGUCUGGUGAAUAAACAGGAGAGUGAGAGGAAAACAGCAAUCAUUCAACUCCAGUAGAUGUAAAGCCUCCAGAAGAAUGUGUCCCGGGAAGGUCAGAAAUGUCAUUUUUUUCCUCCAGCACAUUUCAUCUGCCACAUUCCGCCGUCCGAUGUUUGAGGAAGGAGCCCCGCCUUUCCUUCAGGGGUUCUUGUCGCCAAGUUUGAUGGUGACAGUUUUCACUUCUGUGUAUUCGGCCAAAGCGUAUUCACCUCUGUGAUCACAGAAAAGAGGAAAAUUCAAAAUGGGUACAUCCCUUAGCCAUUGUGUAGAAACUGUUCUGAGGCUUCAUCAUUCCAUCAGGCCGUUGGAGGCUUAUGCAAAAGGUUAAAAUGUGACGACCUCAUGGAAUAAUAGCCAGGACUAUAACAGCACUAGUAAGUGUCAGUAGCUGCAUAUGUGACUUAAAUGUAAAUAUCAAGGUCUUCUUCUGUGUGAUGCUUUUGAAAUGGCCAGGACUAAGGGUUUCCCUUUAGAGAAUGAAGGGGAUUUUAAAAAAAGUAAAGAGGUGAAUUCCCUGGGGUGGCAAUAGAGAGCAAAACGAGAGAGCCUGGUGGACGGUGGGGUGUCUGUGAACGAGGGAGGGGCAGAAAUUACACUGGGUUGAUAACUUUUAGAUGGCAAUUGGGAGCUGCUUGAAGAGGAGACAGAAGAGGCAGAGGCCCAAAGCUAUUGGCUGGGGAUGUGGCCAGAGGACCAGUGGGAAGAACACCAAGGGCCUGAAGCUGGCCUCAGAGUGCACAGCUGGGGACCAGCUGUCAGGCAGUGAGGCCAGCCUAGGGGGCAUGAGAGAAGCAGACGUUAGCACAGAGUGGACAUGGGGAGGCCACAGCUUUUGGGUUCACAUCCUUGGUAUAGUUCCUUUCUUUAAAUCUUGCAGGGCUCAGGUGAUCCUUCCCUGGCACCAUGGGCCGUCUUCAGGGUAGCUUCCCUUCCAAGACCCAAGAGGCAGCUUUGGAGAGAUUUAAAUCCUUCUAAGCGCUUGAUCUGCUGUCAGGUGAAGAAAAAUGUGUGCUUGUUUAGGAAGAGAUGAAGGUAGAGGUGGCCACUGGAGUCUCUGUAGUUAAAAAGACCUGUGACAGAAUCCCAUCUCCUCCCUUAGAUCAAUGGUUCUCAAAGUGUGGUCCCCAGACCAGCAGCAUCAGCCUCACCUCUGAACUUGCUAGAAAUGUAGAUUCUCAGGCCUCCCCCAGCCCUACUAUCGUAGGCAGAAUAAGGAUCUCCCCAGGUAUCCAAAAUUGGAUCCCCCAAACCUGUGAAUAUGUUGGGCUACAGAGUGAAGAAUUAAUGUUGCAGAUGGAAUUCAAGUUACUAAUCAAUUGACUUUAAAAGAGGGAGACUCUCCUGGAUCAUCCAGGCAGACCCAGUGUAAUCACAAGGGUCCCCAAAACUGGCAGAAGAAGAGAGGCAGAGCAAAAUGAGAUUAUAGAAACAGGUUCAGAGAGCAGCAGUGCUGGCUUUGAAGAUGGAGGAUGGGGCCACCAGCCUAGGAAUGCGAGCAGCCUCUAGAGGAUGGAAAAGGCAAGGAAGUAGAUUCUCUCCUGAGAACCUCCAAAAAGGAAUGAAGCCCUUGAUUUUAGCUCAGGGAGACCUGUGUCAGAUUUUUAUCCUACAGAACUAUAAGAUAAUAGAUUUAUGUUAUUUAAGCCACUGAUGUUAUGGUAACUUCUUGCAGGAGCAAUAAAAGACUAAUAAACUUACUGAAUCAGAAA
rnacentral:lncRNA from 1 species